rnacentral:lncRNA from 1 species
UUUAUAAAGUCCUAAAUAAAUACAUAUAGGUAUGUAGCAUGAAUAUACAACAUUAUACCACCAAAUUCAUUCUUUUAAACUACCAAAUACACAGAAUUUGACAACCAAGUAACUUGCAAGUCUUUGACUGUCAAAUUGAAGACUGCUUGCACACAUCCUUUAACCAAUUAAACUAUUAAAUACAACCCACAAUCUAUACAAUUACAAUCAAAUAAAGAUCAUCUAAAGUGUUGCUUCAGUCACGUUUACCUUCUUCCCCACUCAACACCCUUCUACUCCUUCACUUCCCAGUCAAAAAUCAAACACCAAACAAAACAAUCCUCUUACCUUUCAUCGAUUUACGUCAAAACAACAACAAAAGAGAAAAAAAUAAAAAAAAAAUAAGAGAAAAAAACCACAUCAACAACAUCGAUUUACCUUUGGAUUGAAUGCCAAAUCAAAAAAAAAAAAAAAAAAAAAAAAAAAAAAAAAAAAAAAACAAAAAGAAAACACAGCACAAAAAUUAAAAAAAAAAACAAAAAUAUNAACCAAGAGGAUUACCGGUUGCUGCUUGCCUGCUUUGUCCUUACCCUCCAAUCCAACUGUUUCCCAUUUCCAUCGCGUUUACAUCCAAUCGAACCAGAAGAAGAGCAGCCAAGAACAGCCACACCAAACCCUCGAUCUGAAAAUCCUUGAAUCUCUUUCCCUUUUCGCCCAUCGCACCAUUCUUCUUCUUCGU